GCUUAACAGAAGGACCGAGUGAUUAAAUGGUGAGAACUGCCCUCUGGGAGCUGGGGAGGAAACGCUGGAGGUUGAAAUCCGUAAAAACCCUUGAACAGCAAGAUCCUGAGAGCUUCGGAGUUGGUAAGCACAUCCACGUGCCAGGAGGGUGGUGCACCCCAAUUUCAUGGAGACAGAAGUUCUUCUGCUCAGGACCCUUCCUUAACUCUCCCUGUGUACUUCUUAUCUGGCUGUUGAUUUGUAUCCUUUAUGAUCAACUGUCCAUAAAAUAAUGACAUGCCUUAGAAUACAUGGCAUUUUGGAUUUGAUGAAAUACAGCCGUGCUUACCCAGUGCGAGGCACUGUCUAUUUCAAUCUCACAACAACCCUGUGAGGAUCCUGCAGAGAUCAAAAGGAAAAUAAGGAAGUACUAAGAACAACUCUAUACACAUUUGACAACUUAGAUGAAAAAGACCAAUUCCCCCCAAAACACAAACUGUCACAACUUACUUAAGAUGAAACAGAUAACUUGAGUAGCUGAUCCUAUAACUACUAAGGAAACUGAAUUCAUAACUUAAAAACUUGCCCCAAAUGAAAGCAUCAGAUCCAGAUGGUUUCACUGGAAAAGCCUAUGAAACAUUUAAAGAAUUGACACCAAUUCUACACAAUCUCUUCCAGAGAGUAGAAAAAGAAUUUUCAUAACAUAUUAAACUAGUAUUUCCCUGAUACCAAAACCAAAUAAAAAUAGUAAAAAAAAAAAAAAGAAAACUACAAAUCAGUUCUUAUCAUGAAUAUACAUGUAAAAAUCCUUAACAAAAUAUUAGCAAAUAGAAUUCAGCAUUGUAUAAAAAGAAUCAUACACUACAGCAAAAUGAAUAUUAUUCCCAGGAUGCAAGGUUAAUUCAACACUUGAAAAUCAGUUACUAUAAUCCACUUUAAAGUCUAAAGGAGAAAAAUCACUCACUCAGUCCUAUCAAUUAUUCCAGGAAAAGCAUUUGACAGAAUUCAACAUCCAUUCUUGAUAAAGACUCCUAGAAAAAAAGGAAGAGAAGGAAACUUCAACUCGAUACAGAAAAUCUACAGCUAACAUUUUACUUACUGGAGAAAGGCUGAAUGCUUUCUCCCAGAUUUCAGGAACACAGCAAGUAUUUCCACUUCCAUCACUCUUAGUCAACAUAAUGCAGAAGUUCUAGUGAGAGUAUUAAGGCAGGAAAAUAAAAUUAAAGGCAUAAUGAUUGGAAGAAACAAACAAAAAUGGCACUAUUAGCAAAUGGCAUGAAUGUCUGCCUAAAACCUCAGGGAAUCUACCCAAAAAAAACCUCCUAAAAUUAAAAAGUAAGUUCAUCAAUGUUAUAGUAUACAAGAUCCACAUAGUAAAAUCAAUUAUACCUCUAUAUGGGCUAUGGUUUUUCCUGUGGUCAUGUAUGGAUGUGAGAGUUGGACUAUGAAGAAGGCUGAGCACAGAAGAAUUGAUGCUUUUGAACUGUGGUGUUGGAGAAGACUCUUGAGAGUCCCUUGGACUGCAAGGAGAUCCAACCAGUCCAUUCUGAAGAUCAGCCCUGGGAUUUCUUUGGAAGGAAUGAUGCUAAAGCUGAAACUCCAGUACUUUGGCCACCUCAUGCGAAGAGUUGACUCAUUGGAAAAGACUCUGAAGCUAGGAGGGAUUGGGGGCAGGAGGAGGAGGGGACGACAGAGGAUGAGAUGGC
ensembl:lncRNA